GUCACCCGGCACUGAAUACAUAGGUGUCGGGGGGGAACGCGGGGAAGUGAAACAUCUCAGUACCCUUAGGAAAAGAAAUCAAUUGAGAUUCCCCCAGUAGCGGCGAGCGAACGGGGAACAGCCCAAACCGUAACAGUUACGGCUGUUGCGGGGUUGUAGGACUGCACUGUGGACUAUACAAACGAAUCGGAAUGGUUUGGGAAAGCCAAUCAAAGAGGGUGAGAAUCCCGUACGAGUAAAGUUGUAUUACCUAGCAGUAUCCUGAGUAGGGCGGGACCGGAGAAAUCCCGUCUGAAUCCACCGGCACCAUCCGGUAAGGCUAAAUACUCCUGAGAGACCGAUAGAGAACCAGUACCGUGAGGGAAAGGUGAAAAGAACCGUGAAUAACGGAGUGAAAUAGAUCCUGAAACCAUACGCUUACAAGCGGUCGGAGCCC
rnacentral:rRNA from 1 species